rnacentral:misc_RNA from 1 species
GGGACGGGUGUGGCUUUUAUAUAUAUAUAGAAAUAGAGAGAGACCGAUAGAGAAAGAAAGAGAGAGAAGAAUUGAUUGUAGUGUUAGUUUUUAUAUAAUUGGAACCUGUUGUGAUGGAAAUUUGAGUGUGCACGUGCUUCAUGAUCAUCUCAUCUGCACUGCAAAGGAAACAAGAAUUUUGCACUUACAAUGACCUAAAACCCAUGAGAGGAAAUUGAGAGAAAGAAAGAAAGUACAUAACAAGGAAAAGGAGAGGAAAGGAAAAGAAAAGAAAAGAAAAGAAAGGAAAG